rnacentral:rRNA from 1 species
UACGGAAGGCAGCAGUGGGGAAUAUUGCACAAUGGGCGCAAGCCUGAUGCAGCCAUGCCGCGUGUAUGAAGAAGGGCCUUCGGGUUGUAAAGUACUUUCAGUCGUGAGGAAGGUGUUAAGGUUAAUAACCUUAGCAAUUGACGUUAGCGACAGAAGAAGCACCGGCUAACUCCGUGCCAGCAGCCGCGGUAAUACGGAGGGUGCGAGCGUUAAUCGGAAUUACUGGGCAUAAAGGGCACGCAGGCGGUUAAUAAGUUGGAUGUGAAAUCCCCGGGCUUAACCUGGGAAUGGCAUUCAAGACUGGUUAGCUAGAGUCUUGUAGAGGGGGUUAGAAUUCCAUGUGUAGCGGUGAAAUGCGUAGAGAUGUGGAGGAAUACCGGUGGCGAAGGCGGGCCCCUGGGACAAAGGACUGACGCUCAUGUGCGAAAGCGUGGGGAGCAAACGAGGAUUAGGAUACC